AGCAGCUGUUGGUUUGUUUGAUUCGAAUCGUGUCGAGUAAUUAUUAAAACAGAUAAUUGAAACAAGGCGGAAGAUUUGAUCACCUUCAUGACGUUUAAUCCGUUGGAGUUCGAUGCGUACGGGUUGUUUCCAAUCGAUUUGUCCGUUAUUUCCAGUAUGGCCUCAUCAAUCACCACCUAUCUGAUUGUGCUGAUCCAGUUUAAAAUGUCCGAGGAUUCGGAGAACGGUGACGAGAUGGAACCGGAUGACGACAUGCAGGAAAAGAUUCAGUUUGCUGUCAGUUAAAAAAUGAACAUUGUAGAAGCUUGUUUUAAUAGAGUUGAGUGGAAAAAAUGCUUUGAUCAUUGUUGAAGUACUCGAAU